GACGAACGCUGGCGGCGUGCUUAACACAUGCCAGUCGAACGGAAAGGCCCUGCUUUUGUGGGGUGCCCGAGUGGCGAACGGGUGAGUCACACGAGAGUAACCUGCCCUUGACUUUGGGUUAACUUCAGGAAACUGGGGCUAAUACCGGAUAGGAGCUCCUGCUGCAUGGUGGGGGUUGGAAAGUUUCGGCGGUUGGGGCUGGACUCGCGGCUUAUCAGCUUGUUGGUGGGGGAGUGGCUUACCAAGGCUUUGACGGGUAGCCGGCCUGAGAGGGUGACCGGCCACGUUGGGACUGGGAUACGGCCCGGACUCCGACGGGAGGCAGCAGUGGGGAAUAUUGCACAAUGGGCGGAAGCCUGAUACAGCAGCGCCGCGGGCGGGAUGACGGCCUUCGGGUUGUUAACCGCUUUCGCCUGUGACGAAGAGUGAGUGACGGGGAUGGGUAAAGAAGCACCGGCUAACUACGUG
rnacentral:rRNA from 1 species